rnacentral:rRNA from 1 species
GUCUUUUUGAUAAUAAUUUAAAGUCUAACCUGCCCAAUGAAAUUUUAAAUGGCCGCAGUAUUUUGACUGUGCAAAGGUAGCAUAAUCAUUAGUUUUUUAAUUGAAAGCUUGUAUGAAUGGUUGAACGAGAAAAUAACUGUCUCAAAUUAAUUUAAUUAGAAUUUUAUAUUUAAGUUAAAAAGCUUAAAUUUAUUUAAAAGACGAGAAGACCCUAUAGAGUUUUAUAUUUAUUUAAAUAAUUAAUUUUUUAUUAUUAAUAUUUUAAUAAAUAUUUUAUUGGGGUGAUGAAUAAAUUUAAUAAACUUUAUUUUUUUUAAAACAUUAAUUUAUGAAUAUUUGAUCCAUUAAUAUUGAUUAUAAGAAAAAAUUACCUUAGGGAUAACAGCGUUAUCUUUUUAGAGAGUUCAAAUCGAAAAAAAGGAUUGCGACCUCGAUGUUGGAUUAAAGAAAAUUUUUGGUGUAGAAGCUAAAAUAUUAAGUCUGUUCGACUUUUAAAACUUUACAUGAUCUGAGUUUAAACCGGUGUGAGCCAGGUUGGUUUCUAUCUUUAAAAAAAAUAAAUAUUUUAGUACGAAAGGACCAAAUAUUUAUAAAAUUUAUUUUUUUUUGAAUAU